CCUACGGGCGGCAGCAGUCGAGAAUUAUUCACAAUGGGGGAAACCCUGAUGGUGCGACGCCGCGUGGGGGAAUGAAGGUCUUCGGAUUGUAAACCCCUGUCAUGUGGGAGCAAAUUAAAAAGAUAGUACCACAAGAGGAAGAGACGGCUAACUCUGUGCCAGCAGCCGCGGUAAUACAGAGGUCUCAAGCGUUGUUCGGAAUCACUGGGCGGAAAGCGUGCGGAGGCUGUUUCGUAAGUCGGGUGUGAAAGGCGCGGGCUCAACCCGCGGACGGCACAUGAUACUGCGAGACUAGAGUAAUGGAGGGGGAACCGGAAUGCUCGGUGUAGCAGUGAAAUGCGUAGAUAUCGAGAGGAACACUCGUGGCGAAGGCGGGUUCCUGGACAUUAACUGACGCUGAGGCACGAAGGCCAGGGGAGCGAAAGGGAUUAGAUACCCGAGUAGUC
rnacentral:rRNA from 1 species